rnacentral:rRNA from 1 species
AGGACGAACGCUGGCGGCGCGCUUAACACAUGCAAGUCGAGCGGUAAGGCCUUUCGGGGUACACGAGCGGCGAACGGGUGAGUAACACGUGGGUGAUCUGCCCUGCACUUCGGGAUAAGCCUGGGAAACUGGGUCUAAUACCGGAUAUGACCUCAGGUUGCAUGACUUGGGGUGGAAAGAUUUAUCGGUGCAGGAUGGGCCCGCGGCCUAUCAGCUUGUUGGUGGGGUAAUGGCCUACCAAGGCGACGGACGGGUAGCCGACCUGAGAGGGUCGACCGGCCACACGUGGGACUGAGACGACGGCCCAGACUCCGUACGGGACGGCGAGCGAGGUAGGGGAAUAGUUGACGACGAAGUGGGACGAAAGCCUAGAUGACAGCGACGGCCGCGGUGGAAGGAGUACGGACCGGGUCCGUUUCGGGUUA